rnacentral:rRNA from 1 species
GACGUAGGGGACGAGCGUUGUCCGGAUUCAUUGGGCGUAAAGCGCGCGUAGGCGGUUUGGUAAGUCGGAUGUGAAACCAGAGGCUCAACCUCUGGCCUGCAUCCGAUACUGCCCGACUAGAGGUAGGUAGGGGAGAUCGGAAUUCCUGGUGUAGCGGUGAAAUGCGCAGAUAUCUGGAGGAACACCGGUGGCGAAGGCGGCAUCCUGGACCCGGU